UUGCAUGACUGGAGUGCUGUCGUGGAUGGCUCUGUUUCUUUUAGGAAAGACAGACUGGCCAGGUGGUGGAGUCUCUCUUCCAGCGAGAGAACAGGAACAUACUGAGCUCUCCCUAGGGAUGAAUGAAGAACCAGUGGAGUGUUUGCAUGUGAGGCUGAAGAAGCAGGAGAGGUGUGUGAAGACUGGAGGAUAGCUGAUGUCACCACAGCCUUCAGAAAAGGUGUCAUCUGCAAGUGGCUGGAAGAGAAGGAAUUUCUAAGGAGCAGUCAAGGCAAUUUCUAUGGAGGGGAAUUCAUGCUGGACCAAAAGGUAGUGUUGUGUGUUGUCUUGAUUGUGCAGUUAGAUGAGAGGAGGGCAGCAGACUGGCGCAACUGAUGUGCGAGAGCCCAAUUGAUGGGGAUGGGUGGCAUGUGGUAGUAUGGA
rnacentral:lncRNA from 1 species